GGACACACAGAAGUCACCAUCUAUAAGAAACAGGCUCCCACCAGACACUGAGUCUGCUGGAGCCUUGAUCUUGAAUUUCCCAACCUCCAGAACUGUGGCCACCAGACUUUCUCUGCUUGUAUCCUCCCAGGACCACAGAACUCAUCGCAUCCCAAGGCAGCCUAUUCCAUCAUGGAUGAGCUCAAAGUGUUUGAAAGUUCUGCUUUAUCAAAACUCUUGAUGGCCUGCUUCCCAUCCUCCAUCCUGGAAGACUGAUCUGAAACCCCAGGAGGAGGUCCUCUGAGCCCUGAGGCAGAGAUCUCUCACCUGGAAGAUGGGUCUAAUGACUGCGCCCCACACACACCAGAGAGGACUGCAGAUAGUGCGGGAUGAGAGGAAGAUCUCUGGCCCUGGAGACAGCAUCAUCAAGCGGUAGCUUCAUCUUUGGGAGCUGGGGCCUCUGCAGGAGCUUUACCCUCCUCUCUCCAUGCUGAGCCUGUCUCAACCCCCUAACCUGCACCCCAGUCUUUUGGGGUCACCUCAAGGCUUUGGCUGAUGCUUCUUUGCUGACGUCAACCAAGAAAACGUAUGAGGAAGAAAAUAGCAGAUGAGAAGAAUCAACCAAAUUCCGGAAGCUGGAAGGCAGAUGGAAGAAGGCCCUUGAAUGAUGCCAGCACCUUGAUAUUGGACUUUCCAGCCUCCAGAACCAUGAGCCAAUACAUUUCUGUUCCAUAAAAAUUACCCAGUUCCAGGUAUUCUGCUAUAGCAGCACAAAAUGGACUAAAACAAUGUUGGCACAAGACUCAGUGCUGGGCCUGGCAUGCAACAGGUCCUUGGAGUGGCGUGCUGUGUGGAUAAUGAAUAUUGGGGAAGGCAUCUCUCUCCAGCCCCUCUCAAGCUUUCUGUAGUCACUGGUCCACUCUGUAUUGCUAUGAAGAAGCUCAAGACCAGCCUGUAUCACUCGGGGUCCUGGCAGGAACCAGGUGCCACACUCAAACUGAGUAAUUGAAGAGGGUUUAAUAUGGGAGUUAUUUACAUAGGUGUGGGCUGGUGUAGCUGCCCAUAUGCCCUCAAAAUCACCUCUACAUGGCAAUAGCUACUUACUGCUAACAGAGUCUCUCUCUCAUUGCUGCAAAUAUUUUCUAGCCAUGCAAGAAACUCAGCCGGUCAUGUUGAACAAACUAAGAGUGCCAGGAAGUUAAUGUCCUGGAAGCAUUGCCAGAGGGGAGGGGGCAGUUAGAUUCCCCAGCUUCCUCGCUCCUCUGCUGGGUUAAGCCUGCAACAUAUUCAUCAUCUCCCAGAGUGCUGCCCAGGGAUAGAGCUCCAGGUGCUCAGUGUGGUGACCUGCUCAUGUCAGCUUCUUCCCCUUUCCUGUCUUGUUUCGCACCCACAUCCUUCCCAUGUUUCCUCUUCCCAAAUAAACUACUUGCAUUGAAA
rnacentral:lncRNA from 10 species